rnacentral:snoRNA from 1 species
AACUCCUGUUUCUGCCUCAUCUUCUUUUGCUUCAAUAGAUUAAUGGGUCUUGCUAUGGAGAAUAUAAAGGUGGGGAACGACUUCAUUACACAUUUUGAUACAACCGUAAUUUAGUUUUUGCCCAUAUCGUGAAAUAGUAUCAUCCAACCCAUUUUUUCAUGCCUUUUGGCAUCUUGAUAUUUGGGAUUUGAUACUACUCUACAACU